AUGGCGUACUACAAAUUUUGUUUCCGAGAGCUUCAGGUCCACGAGGCGUUUCAUUGGCUCUGGAAAGCUAAAAGUGUCCCCAAGAUCAAAGUUUUUGGUUGGUUUCUUCUGGUUGAUCGUCUCAACACUCGCAAUAUGCUCAGCAGGAGGCACUAUAACAUUGGGACCAACCUGGACUGUCUCCUUUGUGGCGAACACGUGGAAGAAACCCUGGAGCAUCUCUUCUUUCGCUGCACGUUUAGCACACGAUGCUGGCUCAAGCUCAAUAUCACCUGGCCUGCUACUGGGGAUCGGCUGCAUAUGUUGAAACACCUUAAGACGGGAAAUCAACGUAAGAUGAUCAUGGACACCUUCCUAGUCGCUGUGUGGAGUCUGUGA
rnacentral:rRNA from 1 species